UGAUGACGGACGGGAGAGACCGACAGGACCUAAACGGGUCCUCGGCACCGAAGGAGCAAUUCGUUACGCCUGCCGGCUUAACGGGUAAUCUCUCAGGUAAAAGAACCGCUGUCUGAC
rnacentral:ncRNA from 2 species